GGGAUAGCCGCCCGAAAGGACGGGUAAUACCGGAUACCCCCGGGCGCCGCAUGGCGCCCGGGCUAAAGCCCCGACGGGAGGGGAUGGCUCCGCGGCCCAUCAGGUAGACGGCGGGGUGACGGCCCACCGUGCCGACAACGGGUAGCCGGGUUGAGAGACCGACCGGCCAGAUUGGGACUGAGACACGGCCCAGACUCCUACGGGAGGCAGCAGUGGGGAAUCUUGCGCAAUGGGGGGAACCCUGACGCGGCGACGCCGCGUGCGGGACGGAGGCCUUCGGGUCGUAAACCGCUUUCAGCAGGGAAGAGUCAAGACUGUACCUGCAGAAGAAGCCCCGGCUAACUACGUGCCAGCAGCCGCGGUAAUACGUAGGGGGCGAGCGUUAUCCGGAUUCAUUGGGCGUAAAGCGCGCGUAGGCGGCCCGGCAGGCCGGGGGUCGAAGCGGGGGGCUCAACCCCCCGAAGCCCCCGGAACCUCCGCGGCUUGGGUCCGGUAGGGGAGGGUGGAACACCCGGUGUAGCGGUGGAAUGCGCAGAUAUCGGGUGGAACACCGGUGGCGAAGGCGGCCCUCUGGGCCGAGACCGACGCUGAGGCGCGAAAGCUGGGGGAGCGAACAGGAUUAGAUACCCUGGUAGUCCCAGCCGUAAACGAUGGACGGUAGGUGUGGGGGGACGAUCCCCCCGUGCCGCAG
rnacentral:rRNA from 1 species